UACGAACGCUGGCGGCGUGCUUAACACAUGCAAGUCGAACGGAAAGGCCCUGCUUUUGUGGGGUGCUCGAGUGGCGAACGGGUGAGUAACACGUGAGUAACCUGCCCUUGACUUUGGGAUAACUUCAGGAAACUGGGGCUAAUACCGGAUAGGAGCUCCUGCUGCAUGGUGGGGGUUGGAAAGUUUCGGCGGUUGGGGAUGGACUCGCGGCUUAUCAGCUUGUUGGUGGGGUAGUGGCUUACCAAGGCUUUGACGGGUAGCCGGCCUGAGAGGGUGACCGGCCACAUUGGGACUGAGAUACGGCCCAGCCUCCUACGGGAGGCAGCAGUGGGGAAUAUUGCACAAUGGGCGGAAGCCUGAUGCAGCAACGCCGCGUGCGGGAUGACGGCCUUCGGGUUGUAAACCGCUUUCGCCUGUGACGAAGCGUGAGUGACGGUAAUGGGUAAAGAAGCACCGGCUAACUACGUG
rnacentral:rRNA from 1 species